CGUUCGAAGUUUUCCUGCUUCCACAGUUUAAGCAUUUCGAUGGCAGCUUCUCCCUCAGGUGUAACCUCGUGCCAUCAUCAGCUGUUAAGGUACGCUGGAGCUUUAAACAGCUGGGAUGGUAAUCGUGUGGGUUCUUAUGUUUGCACUGGUACACGAACCCUAAGGACAUCUUGUCCACAAGCAUCACAGAAUCUUCCACCCUCUUGCGGGGCUCUGGAGUGAAAUCUCAAGCUGCACUUCGAAAAUGAAUGGAAGGCAGAUGGAGAAGCAUUUGCGCAUUCCUCGUGAAGAUAGAAGCUGCAGUCUUCGUGCUCGCAUUCGUAGCAUGGGCCAAGCCCCAGUCCUUUGCAUCCGUCACAUUCAUAAGGCUCUCGUGGAUGCUUCAACAAGAGAAAAUGUUCGCUAUCAUGACUGGAAUGUUUAAUCUUGGUUAAUCCCAUAUCUGUUGAAGCAAAACAAUUAUAAAGUUGCUCAGGUAAUCUCAAGCAAGGGCGUAUAAAACAUGUAACCACACCAUUUUGAUCAGAUAUUGAAAUCUUCCUACCCAGGAAAAUUAUAAACACGUAUAGUGUGUGUGAAAUUCAAUAGACCCAAACCGAAAAUAGAGAAGAUUGAUCACUAAAUAAUAUAUUAUGUUUUUAUCGGAAAUUAAGCUAUAUUUAAAAGAGAAGUUGUUUCCAGAUUGAAAUGAAAAGAGGAGAAAGAAAGAAAAAUACGUAGUCUACCCAUUCAACGACAAAGAUAUUGUUUAUGAAUUAAGAGAGCGAGUGUGUGCGCGUGUGUUUGAGAGUAUGCUAACACAUGAUAUUCAUCUUGUGAUCACCAGACACCUGGCAUGUAUGCCUUUUUCGGAGAUGUUAUCCUCGGGAAAAGAAAGGGGGAAGCGGAGGUGGAAUUAGGGAUGCAGAGUGCGAAAUCAUUAAACCACUCGUUAUAUAGCAAGAAUCAUACAUGGAUUGAUUUCACUAAAUGCGAAGACCAUAAAAAUAUAUUAAAAAAACGAACAUGAAUUAUUAAUCGUAAUAAAUAAAUAGCAAGCAGAUAAAAUAUUAUCUUACCGAAAUGUUUCCGCUAGGAUCUCUGAAUUAGUCUUGGCUCCACGGCAGGCUUUAUAAACCACGAGCACCUCUUCGAUACCCAAGAUGAUGUGCGUUUAUGUAUGUACAUAGGAGCAGUUUGGCUUUUGAUUCGAAGUGAAGAGCCUCUCUUAAUGCAUGUGGUUUAUAUAGAUAGGUAAUUAACCGACCUAGAAAGGAAACAUCCUGGAAAUGGAGGGUGGUUUUUUUGGUGGCGUGGAUCGUAGCUACUGAGAAACUAUUUUGAGCUCGAGUAUAUUGCGUGUUUUUUGGUCAAUCAAUUUUUUAUUACAUUAAUUCAAUUUACAGAUUAAUUAACAUUUAUAAAUUUAAGCUUUGAUUCCAUUUUAUUUGGUUGCUUUUUAACACAGCGGAAAUUUAUAUUUAACGAAAAAAUCGAACCGCGCAUGCGUGCACAGCAAUGUAGUGUGUUUAUUAAUGGUUCCUUCCUGGUAUUUUACCUGAUCAUAAGGAGAUGGGCCAGCCUAAUAUCUUACGACAUUGGCGUUGAUCUAUUCCAUUACGCGAAGAUGUUUAUUCGAACAAGUAAAAUAUUAAUGAAAGGGAAAGAAUGACCUGUCUUGCAAGUUGUGUGUAAUUUAAUUAAUUAUUUAUACCCGAGAUCUUAUAAGAAUUCUGAAAUUAAAUGUGUUUCCGCUAGAACAGUAUUAAAUGAGUGAUCUGAAAAUUAUUAUCCAUGUCAACUAACACGCAAGUGUGUAAUAACUGAAGAAAAAAGCACUUUUUUCUGCACUUUACACUUGUACGAAAGGAGGAGUCAUAGUUUUCAAUUGUUAUUUUUCAAGGAAAAGAACCUUGCUUGUCUUGUUAUUGCUGGACGUUGCACUCAACUAAAUAUCAAUCACAGGGAAGCCAUGCCUUGGGGGGUUAAAUUAGCUUAUAUAUAAAGCAAGUGUUGACUGGUGAGUCACGAGUUGGAGGGUUGGGAGGCAGGCUCACAUACGCAAUUCAAUGCAAGCUGAUUUGCCUCCAUCCAGGAAUUUCGGAUGGUCAAAUCAUGUGAUGAUAUAUACCACAUCAGAUGAUAGAAUUAAGUGAUUAAGUAAAGCCUGCUGUGACUAAGAUUGGCUUCGGUUUUUCUUUAACUGUCCAUUUUGUCCGCAGUAAUUUGUAUUACUAAAUCUAAUGUUUUUUUUUUUACAGUAUUUAAAUAUUGGUCUGAUAUUUUACUUAAUUUAAGGUUGUCUUUUGAUUUUUUUUAUUGUUUCUUGUAUUGUUGUAUAUAUGAUCUUUCAUAGACUUUUAAUUGUGUUCAAUAAAUGUUUUACACAGAUCACUAAAAAAUUAGCUUUCAAAUCUCCUAUUUGUUGAAAGAAAUACCGAGUGAGAGAUCAAAGUGAUAGCGUUAUUUAUUGGUGGAUUAUGGAAAGAGAGUCUAUCAAUUGUUUGUACACUUGUAAAAUAGUUUUUAUAUUUUGAAUCUAAAUCCUAAAUAUUUAGUUUUAAGUCAAAUUUUCAUUGUAUAUUUUUAGAGCACCGGGCCUUAAUACGACAUGUAUGUCCGUUUCUAUCUAUAUUUCCAAAGAAUCUCCUUAUAUAUUAGUUGACUUUUGAUCUAAAAGUAGAAGUUUUUUUAAUUUAGUUUAAUGAGUUUCAUAUUUUUUAUUAAAAAAAAAAGCCGAUUGUGUUGCCUAACAACUCUAAGCAUUUCUACCCAUGUCGUCAGAUGGAAUAUUCGAUGCAUACUUAAUCCUACCCCUAUUUGGAAAGCAUAAAUUACAAGUAAAAUCACUAUAAUAUUGCAGGGCACCACUUGACGAACAAAUUAUAUAAUACUAUGCUUGAUUAUUGAUUUGCAUGUCUCUUGUGCACGGCAAAUACAUGAUGAUAUUUAUAAUUUUAAGCAGCAGUACUGUCUAUUUUCUCAUGAACGGCAUGCAAUCAAGAUUGAUUCGAUUAAAUAUUUUCAAAGAGUGGAGUAUUAUUUGAUUAACUACAUUAAACAUUAUGCAUGUUUUUGAAUCUGACAUGCAUAGUUACAUGUCCAAUGGAAAACAUUAUACAUGGCAUGCUUAGCUAGCUUUUCCUUGAAAUCUUACAUAGAUACUUAAUUACAAUAUUAAUUUUCAGAUCCGUCUGAGAAAGACAAUCUACAAGACAAACCUAUACACAGAGAAACAAAGAUACAAAGAUAGCAUUGGCACUCAAACAAACAUUAAUUACAAGAAUCUAGCUAUAAACGAAAGAAAAAUCAUCGAUGAGGCCUGUAUUACGCUUUAAUCGGAGAGCAACUGUUGAACAAGAACUGAAAUCAGAGUCGUGGGAUCUCCAAACAAAGCAGAAAUAAUAAGCAUGAUAGCUUUCUUUGCCUUUCCCCAUAUUUUCUUGGCCUUGCAUGAACUUUUCCCACUUGAGAGUUCUAGUUCUCUACUUGGGAUGGCACUUUGAAGUGCUAGGUAAUUAUCCGUCUCAUUCACGUUGCCAUCUUGAAGGAAAUAACCCUUCUUCCACUUAUUCAAGAUCAUGUCCUUCACACAAGCUACAUGGUAACAAUAUUGACCACAGGAAGAAACAUAGGACCAGCCUUUGAUUCCGUUCGAAGUUUUCCUGCUUCCACAGUUUAAGCAUUUCGAUGGCAGCUUCUCCCUCAGGUGUAACCUCGUGCCAUCUUCAGCUGUUAAGGUACGCUGGAGCUUUAAACAGCUGGGAUGGUAAUCGUGUGGCUUCUUAUGUUUGCACUGGUACACGAACCCUAAUACAUCUUGUCCACAAGCAUCACAGAAUCUUCCACCCUCUUGCGG
rnacentral:lncRNA from 1 species